UAAACGUCCCAGUUCGGACUGUAGUCUGCAACCCGACUACACGAAGCUGGAAUCGCUAGUAAUCGCGAAUCAGGAUGUCGCGGUGAAUACGUUCCCGGGUCUUGUACACACCGCCCGUCACACCAUGGGAGUCGGGAAUGCCCGAAGUCAGUGACCCAACCUUUGGAGGGAGCUGCCGAAGGCAGGUCUGAUAACUGGGGUGAAGUCGUAACAAGGUAAC
rnacentral:rRNA from 1 species